GACACACUGUUCCCGGCCUCUGUGACCCACCUGACCCGGUCGGGCUUCUACUGGGACGGCCCCGCCAAGCUCCCCGCCGGGACUGCGCCGGCAGCUGGAAUGAGGCCGGCAGGACAAAGGUACCUGCAGGACCUCUGGCAGUGCUGCCCCCACCCGAAGCCACAGAGGACCUGGGAAAAGGCAGCAAGAGAAACUGGACACCGAGAUCAUCAUGUACGUGCAUUUUGAAGAGUCUCAUCCUGCCCCUUCAGGCCUCUCAUUUCCUUCUACUGUAACAGAGGCCCCUUUAAAAUUGUCAUUCAAGCCUAAGGUCAUGGAGGCCAGAAGCCCAUCGGUAUGGGGACGCUGCUAGCUCAGAGAUGGGCUCCCGGUGCCUCUCGGAGCCCUUUUCUGGGAUGACUCCACUGCUUCCUUCAGACUCUCAAAGGGAGCCUUCUCCAAGAGGCUGAGAGCUCGGAGAAGUCUGAUCCCCUCGUUUUCGGGGGCGGAGAGUGAGACCGGCCACGAACCCUACCGCACCUGGUUCCAGGGCCUCCCGAUGCCGGCCACGGUGCUCAGGUGCCGUCUCCUGGGCCUCCUGCCUCAGCAGCCGGGCUCGCUCCUGCAGGCGGGGCAGGGCCGCCCGCCUCACGGUCUCGGCCGGGGGCCCCCUUGGCCCAAACCACUUCCUCCAGGUUCCGUGGUUGUAACUCCCAAAAGCUGCCGCCAGGGGGCAGCAGUGUGCUGGAGGAAAUUCUGGAUUUAGGCCAGCCUCCCCUCCCCACCGCCUCGUACAGACCGGUUCUGAAAUGGUCUGUCUUUAUUAUGCCAUCAGAAAACAAAUGUGCUGGUUAAAUUACUCAUUAUCUCAUUAACAAAAUAAAGCACUAUCUAUGUUUACAGUCAUAAAAAAGAAACAGCCUGGAAGGAGAGGAGAUGGGGCGGGGCAGGCAUCACAUGGGCCCUGUGGGAUUAGGGUGCCCAGACUUACCCGGAGCUGUUGGACCUUGAGCCCAGGUGCCAACGGGGUUGAUGUUCUUAGGAAAUACCACCUGGGGCAGCCAGUGGGGGGCUGUCCCCUAGCGUGGGGGAGGGGAGCCCGAGUCUUACCGGCCCCUUCAGGAAAACACCGGCCUCCAGCUCAGGAGGAACAGAGGCCGGCUGCCAUUCGGGCCCUAACUGAGGCCUGUCAGCGACAGAAAAGGGGGCACCAUCAGCUCUGCCCGACUCCUGGGACCCGGCCUGCGCCCAGGGGCUGAGCUAGGAGGAGGCGCUGAUGUUCGAAACCUGUCUUUGCCUCGCCAGGGCCCUGAGUCCGUUCCCUGUGAAGCUUGGAGACCGGGGCUGAAGGUUGGAUCCAGCCGAGCUCCUAACCCCACUGACUGAGCCAGUGCUCUUCCGGAAGCCAGUGGGAAGCCAGAGAUGCCAGUGCGAAGGCCUCCGCCCCGUACCCUCCUGUCCCACAGCGGUGGCUUCUCACCUGAAGUGGCGUCGGCUCAGUUCUGCUCGGUGUUUUCCAGAGAGUCACGCUCAGUACAGUCGGCAAGAAGGAGCAGGCUAGAGCCGGGAUUUAGCUCAGUGGUCUCACCGCCUGCUGCAAGCGCAAGGACCUGAGUUCGAUCCCCGGUACCAAAAAAAAAAAACAAAAAACAAAAAAAAAGAAGGAAGGAGCAGGUUAGGUUGCAGAUGCAUCACUGCCCGUCUGGGUCUGAGAGGACCAGCUCUGAAAGGGAUACCAGAACCAGCUCCUCAGCUCCUGCUCUGCGCUACAGGGGAGCCUGAGGCACGGCGGGAGGAUGUGAGGCUGGAGCUCUUCACACGCCAUCUCCAAAUCCCUGUAAGCUGUCCCGGCUCUGUGCUGAUGCCGAGUCGCAUUUUAUAAAUGAGGCAAGGUGAAGGAAAAUGUCCAGUACCACACAGUGAAACAGCAAGAGCUGACUUUUGUUUUAGUUUAAAAAAAAUUUUUUUCCAGUACUGGGGAUCGAACUCAGGACCUUGCACUUGCCAGGCAGGUGCAGUAGCUUUUUAAUUUUUUAAAUUAAUUGAUUUUUAAGUGAAAUCUUUUUUUUUUUUUUUUGGUACUGGGGAUCGAACUCAGGACCUUGCGCUUGCGAGGCAGGCGCCGGAACCACUGAGCUAAAUCCCCAGCCCAAGUGAAAUCUUAUUUUUAUUUUAUACACAGGGUUUCACUGUAUAGCCCAGGCUGGCCUCACACUCACACUCCUGCUGCCUCAGCCUCCCAAAAGCUGGGAUUAUGGCAUGCACUACCGCACCCAGGUAAGAGCUCGCAUCUGAACUCAGGUUUUCUAGCCCUCUGGUCCACGCUUUCCUCCCCUAGUAUCCCAUGCUGCUUUGCUUCUUCUUGUGGGGUUUAUGGUCCUUAUGAAACCAAGGAAAACUGAAUAAGUCCUCUAGCUUCACAUUCAUUAGUUACUUGCUUUUAUCAUCAAUUUUAGAGCUCACCUGGCUGAGGGGUAUAGAAUUUUGCUAUAAAUAGCACCUCUGACUUUGUGGGGGAACAGUUACCUAGGUUCCGUUUUGGGAGCUUGGAGGCCCCUUCCACCUACCUCAGACCAGCUGAAACCACCAGCUGGCUUCCUUGGACCUACACAGGUGUCCAGUGAGUGACUUGUUUCUUUCUUUCUCUUUUUCUCUCUUUCUCUCUCUUUCUUUCUUUCUUUCUUUCUUUCUUUCUUUCUUUCUUUCUUUCUUUCUUUCUUCCUCUUUUUCUCAGGUGAUUGAACCCAGGGCCUUCACACUGAGCUACACCCCCAGUCCUUGUUAAUUUUUAUUUUGAGACAGGGUUUCACUAAAUCACUAAAUUGUCCAGGCAGGGUUUGAACUUGCAGUCUUCCUGCCUCAGCCUCCCAGAGUGCUGGGAUUAGAGGUAUGCACUAUUAUACCUGGCUUUGGGUCACUUUUUGAUGCCCAGUGGCUGAAAAUUCUACCCUCUGAGCAUGCCAGCAUUGCUUUUCUGAACAAGUGUCAUAGGAAGAGCCCUGAAGUUUGAUUACACUUGUGCAGAACACUGGUUGCUUGGCUUUUCCUUACCUUCAAUCGCAUUUCCCUGCCCUGCGGCCACCCUGCUUCUGUCUCUCAUGCCCCUAAACCCUGUCCUCACAGAGGCAGAUUGGAGACUUAGGGCCUCCUCCUCCCCAAGUUUGGCUGCCUUGUGAAUUAACUCUUUCACUUCUGCAAAACUCAUUGCUUCAGGCCAAGGAUUUAGCUCAGUGGUUUCACAGCCUGCUGCACAAGUGCAAGGACCCAAGUUCGAUCCCUGGUACAAAAGAAAAACAAAACAAAAAAACCCCAAAACUCAUUGCUUCAGUGAUUGUCGUACUGCUCUGGGGGCAAAACAGAGCUCUUUCAGUAAUGCUCAGAAUUUGAUGUGGCUGAGCUAGCAACUGCCGUUAGUCAGUACCCUACAUUCCAGCCUGCACCCCAGAAGCAAGGACAGCUCCUGUUCUCCAGCAGACGGGACCCUACAUGCUUGCACACAUAUGUAGGGGCCCACUCAGUGCAUGGGCCCAGCUGAUGCCGGAGACACGCAUCCUUCACACACACACACACACACACACACACUCACUUCCUAAACUUCUCCACUCUGUCCUGCACAUGUCCAGCUACUGAGGAACUGAGCAUGGGGAGAGGGCUGGAGCUGUCACUGGCACCUCCGUGCUCUGCCUCCGAAGAUUGAUCUGGACCGAGUGCUGGGGUAACUAUUCCUUGGUGCAGGUGGAGAGGGCCAUUGGCUCUGGGGGACCCUCACCCCACACACACACUCACACAACGGUGGAGUGUUUCCUUUUCUCCUGCACGCUCCCGUGUCUUCCCGCAGCUGAAAGGCAGCUGGUGGAUGAGGGUGGGAAGAGGUGAGGAAGGUGCCCCUCCCUGAAGUCUGGGCCUUUCCCAAAGUCCCAGGACCCCUCCUCAGCCCUGCUCAGCUCCACCCCCACCACCUGGCUUGGAGUGCCCCACUGUCACCACCUUUCUUUUUUGAACUUUCUUUCCUGUCUGGAGGAAACCUAGAUCCCUAUCCUGGGAGGGACUGGCAACAAUUAACAAAGGCACCGUGGAG
rnacentral:lncRNA from 1 species